rnacentral:lncRNA from 1 species
CGACACUAGAUCCGAUCCCAUGGCUGGCAGUGGGGCGCGGCCCUCACAGCAGCUGCAGGGAUGGUUGACUCCAGAUGGAAAGUGUUUAGAGAAUUCUGACGUGACAUCAUGCUGUCAGGACAUCGUGCUGACGGCAGAGGAAAGCCCAAAUGUGAUGUUAAACACACAGAGGAGACCCCACAUGGGUUACUCACACAGACGCUGCCAAAGGUCCUGCUGUUUCACACUGUGCAGAGUGAAUAAACUAUGGCAUAAAACUAUGGCAACCCCCUUGAGGUAUGU